rnacentral:lncRNA from 1 species
CUAUUGUGAAAAUACGUUUAUUUAAAAGGAUUAAAAAAAAAAAAAAAAACAUUAUGUCACGUAUGAUAUAAAACUAUUAUCAUAUUUUACUUAAUCACAAUAUGAGGGCACCAUUGGAAAAUACGUUGUAAAUCUAUAGUUAUAUAUGAAAAGCAUACAGAAAAAAUGUGGCUGUGGUUCUGAAUACUCCCCGCUCCAAAACUUAUUUUUUUCACUUCCUAACAGUAAAAUAAUUAGAGAAAUAACUUCUUUGACUUGUCCCUGUGCGGCAAAAUCCGUCAUUUCCGCAAAAAUUCGAUUAUAUUUUAAUAAAUUGUUAAUCUGUUUUCUUACUUAUAAGAGGACAUUUCAUUUUCCCUGCUC